rnacentral:lncRNA from 1 species
CCACCCAUGGGCAUAAGUGCAGUGUGCUACUCUGCAGAGCUGGCGUAACCCAUACUCUCUCAUCCACCAUGUCCCACUCCCUAUGGUCCCAAUACGGGUAUGCGAAUACGGAUAUAGAGAAACAGCAACCCUUGUUCCCACAGAAGGAAAUGUAGUACAGUAUGGUAUUUGAGAAAGCUGUGGAUUAAAAAGUUGAAGCCAUGUACCGUAUUUUUCGCUCUAUAAGACGCACCAGACCACAAGACGCACCUAGUUUUUGGAGGAGGAAAACAAGAAAAAAAAUAUUCUGAAUCUCAGAAGCCAGAACAGCAAGAGGGAUCACUGUGCAGUGAAAGCAGCGAUCCCUCUUGCUGUUCUGGCUUCUGGGAUAGCUGCACAGCCUGCAUUCGCUCCAUGAGACGCACACACAUUUCCCCUUACUUUUUAGGAGGGAAAAAGUGAGUCUUAUAGAGCAAAAAAUACGGUAGUUGUUUGAGGGCCAUUUUGAACUGUACAGUUUUUAAAAGUGUGGACCUUAAGACGAUUUAAGCGUACUCAUGAAAACGUAGUGUUUGAAUGUGGCCAAACACCUGCUUGGCGCAGGUGUACCUGCCUACCACCCUGAGCUUGCAAAACUGUGCCAAUCCUGGCCGCUUGGCAAGAACGCUGGGUUGUGGCUGAAUCUGGUGUGGAGCAGUCCUCGGGAGAAGCAUAAGCAAGCUAGAUGUCCCUGGCUUAAUUGCAGGCUCCAGGGAUUGAAGCGGGUGACCCUGUUAUGUAGAUCUGGUGGUCUACCACUGAACUCUGCUCCCUUCCUCCUCCUUCCUGCUUUUCAAAGACUGUGAGACUUUUGCAAAAAGAGGCAGCUAUCUUGUUAAAGGUGACGCAGUUGGUAGGUCUUGCAUCUGUGGCUUCUCUGCACUGAACUGGCCAAGGAAAAGCUUCUCUGUGCACAAAAAAAUAACCAGCGUCUUGGUUCCAACAGACCCGAGACUUUGAGGGGCUUGAUUAAAUAAGUGCAAGUCCUUCUGACUGGGCAAAAUGCGGAAGUUUUAAUUCAGCUGCCAAGACAGGCCACACAGCCUUAGAUUUCCCCAGGGAGCCAGCCUGACAAAGAGUUAAGUUGACAUUUCUAGGCAUGCCGUUAAUGAUUUCCCCGCCCCUCUGAAAUUACUGAAUGAGGUCUUUCCAGCGUGAAGAAAGGACUAUGAACUGGUGGGGAGAGAGAGAAAUAAUGGCAGGAGCUUAAUUAACAAAAAUGGUUUACCUUCUGAAAUUCAAUGUGAGAGGGGAUGGGAGAGAUCAUUCGGCCUUGUUAUUCAUUAGUGGGUAGCUUCUAUCCCAAGUUUUCCCUGUGCUAAAACCAUUAAAUUAGAUACUACUUUGACGAUAGCGUCAAAGUCCGGAGACAAGAAAUCGUUCAGAAGAGCAGAAGGCAUGGAAGGUGUUCUGGAGAUACUGCGGAUUUCUCUUACUCCAGUGUAGGAAAAGCAUUUCUGUCAUGCUGCUAUUGGCCUUGUCUGCACAUCACUCUAAAGCCAGAUUCACUAACCUGGUGCCCAUCAGCCCUGGCCAGCUUGAAGGGACCACUACGGAUCUCUAGUACACAUUCACACGAACCCCAGGACCAUUUGGAAAAUAAUGGGGCAGGACGGGUGCCAAUAGCCCCUCUGGCGUUUCCCGAUUUUCAGUACAAACUGUGGAACUGAAACCGGGGGCAGGGGGGGAACAGCUUGCGUCUUCAACACUGCAAACUUCAAAAAGCAAACAAGGCUAACAAACAAGCAAACUGAUGCCCAGUUCUCCUCCGUAAGCACUUCUGCCUUGUUGGGUUGUUGCAGCUACAGAGGUCAAGUGCGUUGCACAUUUAAUUCAGAAGGAUGGCAUUUUGGCUGGUUAAGGGAAAGAAACUAGGAGCUCAAGAUGAGGAACAUCUAAAGGAGUUGGGCAUGUUUAGCCUGGAAAAGAGGAGACUGAGAGGAAAUAUGAUAACCAUUUUCAAAUAUUGUCACAUGGAAGAUGGAGCAAGCUUGCUUUCUCUUGCUCCAGAGAGUGGCUUCAAGUGAUAAGAAAGGAGAUUCCGACUAAAGGCCAGGAAGAACCUUCUGAUGGCAAGAGCUGUUUGACAGUGGAACGGACCCCCUCAGGAGAUGGUGGGCUCUCCUUCCUUGGAGAUUUUUGAGCAGAUGUUGGAUGUUCAUCUGUCAUGGAUGCUUUAGUUGAG